rnacentral:lncRNA from 10 species
AUAAUUUUUGACCAGUCUGUUUGCUUUUUAUUCCAUAAUCUUCAAAAUAAAAAUUCAGAACUAAAAUUCAAGCCCCAUUUCACAAUGCAGGGUCUAGGAUAUUGUCACUUUCAUCUGAGGUUUCUCUGGAGAAGGAAAGAGCUCUCCUCUUGAUGCCAAAAACCUCCCCUGAAGGCAUUUGAGCUCAGAAGGGGCCUCGGGCGAGCCAAUAGCUCCAAAACCCUUGCAACAGUGAGCAAGCAACAGAACUUGCAAAGGUCUUUAUUAUUUUUUGAGAUGAAGUCUUGUUCUGUCACCCAGACUGGGUGCACCUGUCUGGGAGCCUACUGGGGAGACUCCUGCCCUGACUGGGAAGUCCUUCCUGAGCCACUUCUGGGCUUCCUUCCAAGGCUGGUAAAGGGAACGCCUAACUAGCUCCAAGACUGACCUGGGGCCACCAUACCUGACCUGCCCACCAUCUCAGAACAGUCAUAAGAGGCUCCUGCCAGCUCUCACUACUUCAGAGGAGGCAGUUGAGGACGCCUGGCACACGGUGAGCCCUCAAAGGGGAAGGGGAGCCAAGCACGGUCAAGUGGCGGAAACAGACUCCAGAGUGAGACAGACUCAGGUUCCCAUUCUGCCUCUACUAUCCCCAAGCACUUGCCUCUCUCUGCCUCAGCAUCCUUGUGUGGAAAAUGUGAUUAAGAAUCCCUUCCUUUAGCUGGGUGUGGUGGCCUGUGUCUGUAGUCCCAGCUACUUGGGAGGCUGAGGUGGGGGGAUCCCUUGAGCCCAGUAGUUCAAGACCAGCUUGGGCAACACGGUGAAACCCCGUCUCUACAAAAAAAUACAAAAGUUAGCCAGGUGUGGUUGCCCGUGUCUGUAAUCCAAGCCACUCAGGAGGCUAAGGUAGGAGGAACACUUGAGCCCAGGAGGUCCAGGCUGCAGUGAGCCGUGAUGGUGCCACCAUACUCCAGCCUAGGCAACACAGUGAGACCCUG